UCCUAGGUAGCUCAAUGGUGGAGCACUCGGCUGUUAACCGAUAGGUUGUGGGUUCGAGCCCCACCCUGGGAG
rnacentral:tRNA from 1 species